AAAUUAGAAGGAAGAGAAAUACUCAGCAAGCACCACCAUUGUCCCAAAACAAACUUAAAUGCAAACACACGAAGAACAACGAAAGCCCAAAAAGAAGAAGCUAUCAUCCCUCCCGAAACCACAUCACUACUCAGAAAAAGAAGAACCAAACACCCAGCAAGGGAAAACAAGAAAUUACGCACUCGGCGCGUGACUGCCUCCUUCCCCCCUUUUCUCCUUCGUUACUGCCUCCCUCCC